rnacentral:lncRNA from 1 species
UCCCAAGUUGAAGGAGGCAAGAAUAAACAAAGUUGAAGAAGACUAGAGUAAUGGAAACUUGAAACUAUAGAUAGUUGGUUGAAGAGAUACAUAAUAAAAUGUUUGCAAUUCUUUCCAGUACAACCAUGAUUGGCACUAACUGUCAGUGACUAGCACUAACAUGACCUCUCUUCUUUGUAUUCAUCUUAAACCUUGUCAUUACUGGGUUUCAGAAGUUAGUUGGUUACCUUUGUGUGAGGAGAAGAGGAAAUGGAAGUAGAAUACCAAAGGUUUCAACACUUUAAAUUGUAAGCAAAACUAUCCAACUUGACUUGCUUCACAAAAAAUUAGAAGAUGGAAGAAAAUAAAAGGGAGAAAGUAGUGUAACCUUUUCAUUGGGCCACCGUUGCGAUAGGUGGUUCCUGCCGCCUUCCUCCACCGCCACGAACCGAAGAAGCUUCGGGUAGAAAAACCACUGCAGCUUCUACCAUGGUGGAAUCGCCAUCGCCGAAGAGAAGAGAUGAUAAAUUUUCUCUAGGGAUUUCAAUCCCUUCAUAUGUUUUGGGGUGGGAAUAACCUAACCCCUCUUAUUUUUUCCCUUCUUUUGCCUUCUUUUACGCGAAAAUCAGGCUUCUUU